rnacentral:rRNA from 1 species
GAUUAAAUUGCUAAGGGCACACGGUGGAUGCCUUGGCACUAGAAGCUGACGAAGGACGCGACAAACAGCGAUAUGCCUCGGGGAGCAGUAAGUAUGCUUUGAUCCGGGGAUUUCCGAAUGAGGGAACUCACCUAUGGUAAUGCGUAGGUACUGCAUAGUGAAUACAUAGCUAUGUAGAAGCAACCCAGUGAACUGAAACAUCUUAGUAGCUGGAGGAAAAGAAAGAAAAAUCGAUUUCCUUAGUAGUGGCGAGCGAAAAGGAAAGAGCCCAAACCAAUCUUCGGAUUGGGGUUGUAGGACCCGACAUUAAGAGUUACAAAUUUAUUACAUAGCUGAACCAGAUGGGAAGCUGGACAACAUAAGGUGAUAGUCCUGUAAGCGAAAUGUAAUAAGCUCUGUUGGGUAUCCUGAGUACGGCGAGACACGUGGAAUCUUGUCGGAAUCCGCGGGGACCAUCCCGCAAGGCUAAAUACUCUCUAGUGACCGAUAGUGAACAAGUACCGUGAGGGAAAGGUGAAAAGAACCCCGGGAGGGGAGUGAAAUAGAACACUGAAACCGUGUGCCUACAAGAAGUCAAAGCCCGUUAAUGGGUGAUGGCGUGCCUUUUGCAGAAUGAACCGGCGAGUUAUUGUAUCAUGCAAGGUUAAGGUGAAGAGCCGGAGCCGAAGCGAAAGCGAGUCUGAAUAGGGCGCUUUAGUAUGAUGCAAUAGACCCGAAACCGAGUGAUCUAGCCAUGAGCAGGUUGAAGUUUGGGUAAAACCAAAUGGAGGACCGAACCGACUUACUAGGAAACGUGAGCGGAUGACUUGUGGCUAGCGGUGAAAUUCCAAUCGAACUCGGAUAUAGCUGGUUCUCCCCGAAAUAGGUUUAGGCCUAGCGUUGAAAUUAGCGCCUUGGAGGUAGAGCACUGAAUAUACAAUGGCGGCGUCUAGCUGUACUGAGUGUAAUCAAACUCCGAAUGCCAAGGUUAGCAUGUUCAGCAGUCAGUGUAUGGGUGAUAACGUCCAUACGCAAAAGGAAAAGAAUCCAGAUCGCCAGCUAAGGUCCCAAAAUAUAUGCUAAGUGGGAAAGGAUGUGGAGUUGUCAAAACAGCUAGGAGGUUGGCUUAGAAGCAGCCAUCCUUUAAAGAGUGCGUAAUAGCUCACUAGUCGAGUGACACUGCGCCGAAGAUGUACCGGGGCUAAGCAUAUUACCGAAGCUGCGAAUUUGUACUUUUAGUACAAGUGGUAGGGGAGCGUUCUAAUUGCGGUGAAGGUCGAUCGUGAGGACGGCUGGAGUGGUUAGAAGUGAGAAUGCCGGUAUGAGUAGCGCAAUGGAGGUGAGAAUCCUCCACACCGUUUGCCUAAGGGUUUCUGGGGAAGGUUCGUCCUCCCAGAGUAAGUCAGGACCUAAGGCGAGGCCGAAAGGCGUAGUCGAUGGACAAUUGGUUGAUAUUCCAAUACCACCUAUAUAACUGAUGGAAUGACGGAGAAGGCUAGGAUGAGCUGAUUAUUGGAUUUCAGUCUAAGCACAAAGGUUAGUAUAUUGGCAAAUCCGUAUACGAUCUAACUGAAGUGUGAUGGUGAAGGGAGUCUUCGGACAAACGAAAUCAUUUGACGCCAUGCUUCCAAGAAAAGUUUCUAGGGUUAAUUAUAUAGGUGCCUGUACCAAGAACCGACACAGGUGGGCAAGGAGAGUAUCCUAAGGUGAGCGAGAGAACUAUGGUUAAGGAACUCGGCAAAAUGACCCCGUAACUUCGGGAUAAGGGGUGGUCAAGCGAUUGACCCGCAGUGAAUAGGCCCAGGCGACUGUUUACCAAAAACACAGGUCUCUGCUAAGUCGUAAGACGAUGUAUAGGGGCUGACGCCUGCCCAGUGCUGGAAGGUUAAGAGGAGAGCUUAGUAUGACGCUUGUCGAUAAUACGAAGGUUCGAAUUGAAGCCCCAGUGAACGGCGGCCGUAACUAUAACGGUCCUAAGGUAGCGAAAUUCCUUGUCAGGUAAGUUCUGACCCGCACGAAAGGUGUAACGAUCUGGGCACUGUCUCGACCAUAGACUCGGUGAAAUUUUAAUACCUGUGAAAAUGCAGGUUACCCGCGACAGGACGGAAAGACCCCGUGGAGCUUUACUGCAGCUUGAUAUUGGGAUCUGGUUCAUUUUGUAGAGGAUAGGUGGGAGACGUUGAUACUAGGACGCUAGUUCUAGUGGAGUCAACCUUGGAAUACCACCCUUGAUGAAUUGGAUUUCUAACUUGGUACCAUGAAUCUGGUAUGAGGACAGGGUUGGGCUGUUCGCCCAUUAAAGUGGCACGCGAGCUGGGUUCAGAACGUCGUGAGACAGUUCGGUCCCUAUCCGUCGUGGGCGUAGGAAAAUUGAGGAGAGCUGUUCCUAGUACGAGAGGACCGGAACGGACAUACCUCUGGUGUAUCUGUUGUCACGCCAGUGGCAGUGCAGAGUAGCUAUGUAUGGAAUGGAUAACCGCUGAAAGCAUCUAAGCGGGAAGCCAACUUCAAGAUGAGUUUUCCCAUAUUUUAUAUAGUAAGUUCCCUCAAAGACGAUGAGGUUGAUAGGUUAGAGGUGUAAGCAUGGCGACAUGUUGAGCUGACUAAUACUAAUAGAACGAGGAUUUAAUCAU